rnacentral:SRP_RNA from 23 species
CGAAGCGUGUCAGGACCUGACGGUAGCAGCACUAAG